ensembl:snoRNA SNORD116 Small nucleolar RNA SNORD116
GGAUCGAUGAUGAUUUCCAAUAAAACAUUCCUUGGAAAGCUGAACAAAAUGAGUGAAAACUCAAUACCGCCACACUCAUCGUGACUGAGAUCC